AUGUCCUUAAGUGAUUUUGUUCAUGAGGCCAUUAACAAAUCUAUAAUGAAGUGUGAUGUUGGUAAAAUAAAGGAUUUGUAUGGAAACAAUGUUCUUAGUGGUGGUUUAACUAUUUUUCCCGGUAUUGUAGAUCAUAUGAGCAAAGAUAUCACUGCCCUGGCUCCUAGAAGCAUGAAGAUUAAGGUUGUUGCUCCAACAGAGAUAAAGUAUGUUGUUUGGAUCAGAGGAUCGAUCCUUGCAUCCUACAACACCUUCCAGCAGAUGUGGAUAUCAAAGGGAUAG